ACUGACCGGUGGACAAACCGGGAGGAAGGUGGGGGAUGACGUCAAGUCAUCAUGGCCCUUACGGCCUGGGCUACACACGUGCUACAAUGGUCGGUACAAAGGGUUGGCCAAGCCGCGAGGUGGAGCUAAUCCCAUAAAACCGAUCGUAGUCCGGAUCGCAGUCUGCAACUCGACUGCGUGAAGUCGGAAUCGCUAGUAAUCGUGAAUCAGAAUGUCACGGUGAAUACGUUCCCGGGCCUU
rnacentral:rRNA from 1 species